GCGACGAUGGCCGAGUGGUUAAGGCGUGAGAUUGCUGUUCUCAUUCUUGUAACAGAGCGUGGGUUCGAAUCCCGCUCGUCGCA
rfam:Caenorhabditis brenneri strain PB2801 C_brenneri-6.0.1_Cont49.19, whole genome shotgun sequence.